rnacentral:rRNA from 1 species
UGGGCAAUCUGCCCUUCUCAUCGGAAUAAGCGUUGGAAACGACGUCUAAUGCCGAAUACGACCUCCUUUCGCAUGAUCGGAGGUGGAAAGCUCCGGCGGAGAAGGAUGAGCUCGCGGCCUAUCAGCUAGUUGGUGUGGGUAAUGGCCCACCAAGGCGACGACGGGUAGCCGGCCUGAGAGGGUGACCGGCCACACUGGGACUGAGACACGGCCCAGACUCCUACGGGAGGCAG